rnacentral:rRNA from 1 species
UACGGAGGGUGCAAGCGUUAUCCGGAUUCACUGGGUUUAAAGGGUGCGUAGGUGGGUUGGUAAGUCAGUGGUGAAAUCUCCAGGCUUAACUUGGAAACUGCCAUUGAUACUAUCAAUCUUGAAUACCGUGGAGGUCAGCGGAAUAUGUCAUGUAGCGGUGAAAUGCUUAGAUAUGACAUAGAACACCAAUUGCGAAGGCAGCUUACUACACAACGAUUGACGCUGAGGCACGAAAGCGUGGGGAUCAAACAGG